rnacentral:rRNA from 1 species
GUGGGGAAUAUUGGGCAAUGGGCGCAAGCCUGACCCAGCAACGCCGCGUGAAGGAAGAAGGCUUUCGGGUUGUAAACUUCUUUUACCAGGGACGAAACAAAUGACGGUACCUGGUGAAUAAGCCACGGCUAACUACGUGCCAGCAGCCGCGGUAAUACGUAGGUGGCGAGCGUUAUCCGGAUUUAUUGGGUGUAAAGGGCGUGUAGGCGGGACAGCAAGUCAGAUGUGAAAACCAGAGGCUCAACCUCUGGCCUGCAUUUGAAACUGUUGUUCUUGAGUGUCGGAGAGGUAAUCGGAAUUCCGUGUGUAGCGGUGAAAUGCGUAGAUAUACGGAGGAACACCAGUGGCGAAGGCGGAUUACUGGACGAUAACUGACGCUGAGGCGCGGAAGCGUGGGGAGCAAACAGGAUUAGAUACCCCUGUAGUCC